UCAAGCUUAUAGGAAGCUUCUUGAGAUCCUAAGGAGGCUUGUAGUAGUUCGUUGGAAGUGUUUGGACGUAAGAACACGGAGAACGACAAGUUCAAAGUUUGGCCGGAGCUUUCGGGGCUUUUUCUGGUGAAUCCACGCCGAGUUAGGGGUCAAGGCAGAAAUUCCGGCAAAACACCCACCUCCGGCGAAACCAGUCCGGCGACGCGAGGAAGAAGACGCGUGCGUGGGCAGCGCGUAGAAGUGGCGCGUGAGGGCGCGUGAGAGACCCAAAUCAAGUUCUGAAAAUUGUCACGUGUUCGUGACGUCGUGUAGAUCACCGUGGUGAAAAUUAUACAGACGAAGAACGUAACCAAUCUAGGCGAGGAGGUUACGAACCAGCUACUUAUCAAUGAGUGGGCAGUUAUUUUUCAGUAUAUAUAUACGUAUACUUGACGUAUUUCCCAGAAAACGUAUUUUAAAAUAAAUACGAUUUAAGUAACUUAUCAUGUAUGCAUCAUAUUUUAGAAUGUGCAUUACUAUAAUUAUGUAUAUUGUUGCAUGGUGCUGA